rnacentral:rRNA from 1 species
AUUGAACGCUGGCGGCAUGCUUUACACAUGCAAGUCGAACGGUAACAGGCCGCCAGGUGCUGACGAGUGGCGAACGGGUGAGUAAUGCAUCGGAACGUGCCCAGUCGUGGGGGAUAACUACUCGAAAGAGUAGCUAAUACCGCAUACGAUCUAUGGAUGAAAGCGGGGGACCGUAAGGCCUCGCGCGAUUGGAGCGGCCGAUGUCAGAUUAGGUAGUUGGUGGGGUAAAGGCUCACCAAGCCAACGAUCUGUAGCUGGUCUGAGAGGACAACCAGCCACACUGGGACUGAGACACGGCCCAGACUCCUACGGGAGGCAGCAGUGGGGAAUUUUGGACAAUGGGCGCAAGCCUGAUCCAGCAAUGCCGCGUGCAGGAAGAAGGCCUUCGGGUUGUAAACUGCUUUUGUACGGAACGAAACGGCUCUGGUUAAUACCCGGGGCUAAUGACGGUACCGGAAGAAUAAGCACCGGCGAACUACGU